UACGUAGGGGGCAAGCGUUGUCCGGAAUUAUUGGGCGUAAAGAGCGUGUAGGCGGCCCAGAUAAGUCCGCUGUGAAAUCUCGAGGCUCAACUUCGAGCUGUCGGUGGAAACUAUCUGGCUAGAGUCCGGAAGAGGAGAAUGGAAUUCCUGGUGUAGCGGUGAAAUGCGCAGAUAUCAGGAAGAACACCCGUGGCGAAGGCGGUUCUCUGGGACGGUACUGACGCUGGAGACGCGAAAGCCGUGGGGAGCGAACAGG
rnacentral:rRNA from 1 species